rnacentral:rRNA from 1 species
AGUGAACGCUGGCGGCGUGCUUAACACAUGCAAGUCGAACGAGAACGGGUUAUAGCUUGCUAUAAUUGUCAGCUAAGUGGCGCACGGGUGAGUAAUAUAUAGGUAAUAUGCCUCUUACUAAGGGAUAACAAAUGGAAACGUUUGCUAAUACCUUAUACUCCUUAUUAACAGAAGUUAAUAAGGGAAAGAUUUAUUGGUAAGAGAUUAGCCUGUAUUGUAUCAGUUAGUUGGUGAGGUAAUGGCUUACCAAGACUAUGACACAUAACUGGUUUGAGAGGAUGAUCAGUCACACUGGAACUGAGACACGGUCCAGACUCCUACGGGAGGCAGCAGUGGGGAAUAUUGUACAAUGGACGAAAGUCUGAUGCAGCAACGCCGCGUGGAGGAUGACACAUUUCGGUGCGUAAACUCCUUUUAUAUGAGAAGAUAAUGACGGUAUUAUAUGAAUAAGCACCGGCUAACUCCGUGCCAGCCGCCGCCGUAA